rnacentral:rRNA from 1 species
UACGUAGGGUGCGAGCGUUGUCCGGAUUUAUUGGGCGUAAAGAGCGUGUAGGCGGCCAGGUAGGUCUGCUGUGAAAACUCGAGGCUCAACCUCGAGACGUCGGCGGAAACCAUCUGGCUAGAGUCCGGAAGAGGAGAGUGGAAUUCCUGGUGUAGCGGUGAAAUGCGCAGAUAUCAGGAAGAACACCUAUGGCGAAGGCAGCUCUCUGGGACGGUACUGACGCUGAGACGCGAAAGCGUGGGGAGCGAACAGG